GACCGCAUAACUCAGUUGGUAGAGUGUUUCUAUGACAUGGAAAAAGUCAGCAGUUCGAGUCUGCUUGUGGUCACCA
rnacentral:tRNA from 1 species